GGAGACUCUAAGACUUCUGAAGAGUUUCUUGCUUCUUUCCUGUGGGGCAGUGACUCCACUUCCCAGCAGUAAUGGAAUAUCCUGAAUUAGCUACAUUAAUGUUAGAACCAUUUGGACCUCACCCAGGACUUCAACUACAUUAUGGUUCUAGUAUGUUACGUUUAUGUUCCCCUGCUUUCUACAAUCCUGUUCAAAGAGUUGCUGACUUAACCACAGAGAGGAUUCCAGAACCUGAGACACAGAAUAAACUUGAGCAAUCAUAGUCCAUCCACUUCAUUGUCUCAUCAAAAACCAAAGGUCCAGUGAAGCUCUGGAACUCAACGCUGUAAAGGAGCGAAGGAGCUUCUAUACAGAGCCUGGAUGCCUGUCUCCUUAUCCUACUUCAGUGGACUUGACUGCAAUCCGGAUUAUGCUGUUUUCUAAGCAUUUAAAAUAAAAUAAAAAGUAUAA
rnacentral:lncRNA from 1 species